CCAGAUGCUUCUGUGUUCCAGUCCCAGAUGGUCUAUGACAGAAGUACUGAAGGCCUGUGUGCUGGGGAGGAGACUUGCUGUUUGAGGCAGUCAGGAAGAAGCAGAAAAGCCUGGAAGAGCCUGGAAAGGCCAAGAAAAGGAAGGGAAAGGAACAGGCAAGAAUGAAGGAUGAAGACAUGGAGGUCCUUUCUACCUAGCUGACUGGAGAACUGGCAGGGUGAUGAAGCAAGAAGCACUGUGCAAAUACAGGCUGAUCCAUGGCUUAAGGUUUGCACCGCACAGCGGGUUGUACACGUGCAGUGCACCGCCGGAAUGACGUCCCAUGCCCAUUUGCUACGUAAAAAUGAUGUUGCGGCCUUAGUUUCACAUUCUCCUGGCAGUCGCCACUUAAUCCUCCUUCACCUCCCUCGGGAUGAGGGUGUUGGCCCUGCAGCUGGGAAGGCUCGCACAGAGAGUCUGUGCCUCCUGCUAGGUGAGGUUAGGCAGGAAUGACCAGAGGCUUCCUACACCAAGAGGAUGUUUAUUUUAAAUAAAGGUGAGUUUGCAGGUGAUAGCGGAGUAACACUUGUGUUUCUAGUUCCCAGCCUUACAAGGCUCCCUCUGACCUGAGCCUCAUGUUUCGGGUUGUGCUGGUUUUAGCUGGACGUUAGCCUUCGUUUGCCACCCACGCUCUCUCCAAAGGGCCAACCCCAGCACCUUCACGGGGUCCGGGAGGGCACAGAAGUUGCUGCCUCACACUGCCAGCAAAGGCCACGGUGCUUCCUCUGGUUGAUGCUGGGCUUGGCGUCGGGGAGCCCCUCCGCAGCGGCGGUCGCUUGGGGGAUGGUCCAAGCUCUCUGGGGUCAGUGGAAGGAUUUAGGUGACGCUGGUGGCACGGAUCCAGCCCUGACUCAGUAACGCUCAGCGAGAUAAAAACUCCUGCUUGCUCCCGUGGGUAAGUGCAAGUCGCACUCACCAAAUACUCAGCCUGGCCACGUGACAGAAGAAGAAUAUACACAAUAAACUGCUGAGGUUCAAUAGCAGACGUGGCAUUUGAGCCUGCAGUUAAUGAGCUCCCGGUCUGCUGCAAGCCCAUGCUUUGCCACUGAAGAUUCGACUUCAAAUUAUUUGGCCUUUCAGCAGAAGCCCAGGGAUUCCCGCAGUGACCAUAAUGCGCUGAGUAACAGCACGGGUCGUACACAGACUCUCACACAAGGGAGGAAAAGCACUAUAUAAAUUAAUUUUUCAUGUAAAAGCCCUAGAACAAUGAGUCUGUAACAUGCAUAUAUAAAUAAUUAGUGUGGUUAUAAGUUGGAUAGUUUCUUUUUAAUUGACUGUAUGUAUGCAGUUAUUGACUUUGAAAGUGACGCCAAACUUUUCUGCUAAAUCAAAGGAGCUGUCUUUCCCUCUUGGAAUGGUUUCCAUGUGGCGAGUUUAACAGGCUUUCCCCGAGUUACAGAAGGAAAAGGUUCCCCUCUUGUGGCUGCGAAGGAGAACGACAUUUUCUGCACUAUAUUCUCCACUUCCUUAGUUAUAGAGAAAUACAAAGAAGUUAGAAAAUUCCAGGCAUCUUCAUCUCGUACCACAGCACGGAACUUGGCCGCUUCUGGCGUGCUGUAGCUGUGUUUCAGCUGCCUCUUCGACGGCUGCUGUGUUUGCUUCAGGGUAAAGGGAAAUAGUCGGGGGGGAAUUGAUCUAAGUUAUUUAAAUUAAAACCAGAAGUCGUGAUCUAUAUCAGCAGUUAGAAACAUUAGAUUUAAAGAAAAGCUGGUUUGCAUUUGUACCUUUAAAACACUUUCUUAGUAAACGCUUGCUUUUAUCUGUUGGAUUUAUUUUACCUGUUCUGUCUGCCCUUGGGGAGGUGGCUUUACAGGAAAAUCUUUAAGCCGUUCGUAACUCAGCAGGUAUUCAUUCAGGUUAUCAGAUUUUCUAUUUCGGUUAUGUUAGAAAUGGUGACAAGCACAUAUUACUUACAGAACGGCUGAUUUAACUUCCAGUUUCGGUGAAAAUGCUUUUGAAUUAAAAAUCGAAAUUUAAUUUAAAAAUCAAGCAAGCAGCAGCUUAAAGUUAUUGGUUAAAAGCUGUCUUGAAACACUUUAGUUGCAUCAGAAGGAAAAGCGGUGAGUUUACCCAGUUAUGUCUGACUACGACAAGGACCGCAGCUACGAAGGAAGGGAAGUUCGCCGAAGCGCUUGGCUCGUGCCGCGGUACCCGCCGCAGUUUGGAGCGAACGGGACUCAGCCCCUCACGCCUCCUUUGCAUGGAGAAACCAAACUUUCUUGCUUUUUCAACUCCCAGCUGGUUUCUCAGCGUUGAAUGACCUACUCGCUGGACACAGCCAGGCUGAAACUCGCACGCGGAGUGUUCUUUUCUCCGUGUUCCUGCAGAAGAAAGAGCUACUACCCAAAGCAGAGCUCAUUUAUGCCUUUAGCUGUCCAGCUUCUGGGGGAAUAAAUUCCUCAGGCCACUUGCUUGACUUUCUUUAUAUCAUCAGCAAAGAUGUGCUAUUUGAAAAGUAUACGAAUAAUUUAUAUAAAACUUUAAAUAGCUGACUUAUGCCUCAGCAUAAGCUGUUAUUUCAGAUUUACUUCCUAGAUUUAUUUUUAAAGGAAACACACAUGUUAAAUAAUCUGCUUUUUUCCUUAAAUCUCUAUUUCUUCUAUUGUAGAGACACUUAAAUUCCAGGAAAUAAUUUGAUGCUGCAAUUUGAACUAGAGGAAAACAGCAAAAGUUUUGUAUUCAAGGCUAUGAUCUUGGACAACUCUCAAAAGGAAACAUAGAAAAUAUAUCUCAGGAAAAGGCAGCCUGAAAUUAGAAUAGUUGUUAAUACAAAUAUACAGGACAGAUUUAGAUUUUAGUUUUAACCCUGGUGCUAUUUUUAUACUAUAAAGAAGCUAAAAUGGGAAGUCUUUUAUGUCAUGAAAAUCCAGAUAUAAACAAUUCCUUUUUGAUUUCUAAAGCAGAUUUUUCUGUUGAGGAAGACUUAUGAUUUUUAAAUUUGCUUAAUCUCUAUUAUUAUUAUUAUUAUUGUAGUAAUAAAUUACCUUUAAAAUGAGAUGCACUUGGCCUAAGACUUUGGCACAUGGAGUAGAAGCAUUCACUUUUAAUUAUUAGGCUGUGGAACUAAACCCUGUCAUUUUCCCUCUAUUGAGUAGAUCUAUUCAAAAAGACCUGAAAAUGGGAUGGAAGCGGAGCUGACCUACGAGCCAGGGCAAGAACAGAAGAAGCCACAGCGCUUGUGAGCUCACCGAGGUGACUGAUAGCUGCUGCAGGAGCCGGCGGCCCCGCGAAGGCGCAGGGGGUGAGCCGGGACAGGGAAGGUGAGGACGGGGUGGGAUGGGAGCUCGUCUCUCCCGGUUGAGCGCGGCCACCUGAGCAAGCCAGUGAUGAUGUAUUUAGAAAAGAAUCUGGUAUGAAGCCGAAAGGCAGCUUCUUAAAUUGAGUAAAUUACAUUUGUAUUAAAAAAAAAAAAAAGAACUUGUAAAUCGCAUAUUCACACAACGGAGCACGCGAGCGAGCGAGCUCUCAUACGAAACCCAGAUGUUCAUUAGAAACAUGAAUUUUUCUUCCUUGCUGCUACCAUGAAAAGUAAAACUGGGAAAAAAGUCAGCUGUGGUGAAGGGGUAUAAAGGCGUGAGUUAAGUCUACAAAAUCCAGGAAAGUUCCCGUUAAGGCUAAAAAUCUGGGGUGCUGUUGUAGUCUUUUAAUUUGGACCCAAGGUAUAAAUUAAAGCCAGAGUAUCAGGUCAGGUGCUCAAGCUCUCAGCCCUUAGCUGUGGAAUUUCCAGGUUAAGUUACGUAAAUUUUCCUGUUGCUGGAUAAAGCUAAAAUCCUGUGUGCCAUAUAUUUGCUCAUCAUAAAAUGUUCUCUCCUAGCCAGUAACAGCUUCUUUGUUGGCGAAGCCUGUCUGGUUUAUGAGCUUCCCAGCCUUUGUAGAGCGUACUGGGAGUUAAGAACUUCCACAUGGCGCUUGCUCUAAGGCUUUUGUGAAUAAGCAAAGCAAAGCGCUUGCUCUAGGUCCAGCAAAUGCAUCGAAUAUGGUUUGAAUUCUCUGUUUUUAAAUGCAAAGGAUAAUAUUGAUUUUGUUAAGGUAAAUGUCUUUAAUUGUGCGCUAUAUAAACGCGACUCUUACUGAGACAUAAUGGGCUCCGGGCAUUCUUCCAGCACAGCAGUAUGAAAAUGUAUCUUUUCGUCUCUCCAGUAGAGAAAUGCAGAAUGAAGAUUUGGAUGAACAGAUAUUAAAUGUCUCUAAAAAGCAUAUACUGAUGUGGAAGGACAUUUACCCAGAUGGAAAUUAAUGCUGUGUUAAGGGCAAAGCUCUGGAUUGUUUAGUGUGUUUUACUGAGGUGGUGCUGGUGGGAAUAGAAAACUGAGGGGAAAAUAGACAGUAAGAGAAGACGAAGAUGUUAAUAAAAUUGUCACUGCAUGACUCAGUCUAUCUCGUCUACAGAAACGGGCUGGGCCCUUGAUGCACAGGGUCUCGCGGCCCGCGUGAAGCAGCAGCCACACUCCGGACCCCUCCUGCACAUCCCCUGCGUGAGUAGUCAGGAGGGGGAGGGCAAGACUAGCAAGUGGGUGACUCACCCACUUGGUAUUAGUUUAUCAAAGGCAAUAAAGAUAUUUAAGACUAGACCAAUCACUCAUGCAGCAGAUGAUAUCCUUUCAUUU